GUGCUCACUUUGGCAGCACAUAUACUAAAAUUGGAGAGAUACAGAAAAGACUAGCAUGACUCCUGCGCAAGGAUGACACACAGAUUUGUGAAGUGUUCCAUAUUUUU
ensembl:snRNA U6 U6 spliceosomal RNA